rnacentral:lncRNA from 1 species
AUGCUCCCAACCCUGGGGGCGGGGACAGGCCAGCCCUCCGCAGCUCAGCCUCUAGAAUGUUCAAAGGCAGCCAGUUCACAACAGCUGGUUCUGCAAAAACAAAUGAACCCUCCACGACCCAGGUCUCCAGGAAGAGCGAGCGUGGUGUGCGCAUGCCGCACGGCUGCCCCGCGGGUCUGGCCGAUGGAUGGAGGGAACUCGCACACAAGGGGGCCUGGGGCCGAGGACAAGGGCAGAGCCCGUCCUUGUCUCAGCAUCCCUUUUCGCCGGGAGAGCGCUUUGUGUCCCGUGCCUCCCAUCUUCUCCCUUUUCGCCGGGAGAGUGGUUUGUGUCCCCUGUGCCUCCCCAUCUUCUCCGUUUUCGCAAAUGUACUGCUCCUCUAGCCGCAGCAGUUCCAGGAGGCCCCUGCGGAGUCCGCUGCCCCUGGACCGGUCCGAGGCCCACCCUCGGGGCGGCUCUGCUGCUGGGACCCGGGAGACUGAACUCCGUUUGUGCAGCAGCAAGGGUAGGCAGGGCCCAGAUAGGACCCCCUGGGGGUGGGGCCUGGCCCCGGCAGGCUGCCUGGUUUGGGACCCUCCCUCGCUGCCCGCUGCUGGGGCACCUGGAGAUCACAGAUGCCCACUCUCCAGGCCCAGGAGCAGCCCGAGAGCUGAGGGUGUGGGGCCUGGGAUGCAUCCUCAAGGUCUGACCGCACUGCGGAGAGGUCUGCUGGUCCGCUGGCAACCGGGACAGACAGCACGUGCCCUGGGGACUGUCCUGGGGCCUUUGAUGGACUUCCAGCCCAUCCCGUCUUCAAGUCCUUCCUUGAGCAGUGGGGGCCGGGCCUCCCCAGCGCAGCCCAGCACCCUUCGGUGGCGCCCUGCAUCAGAAGUGCUGACAGCCCCACACCAAGGCCCCAAGGCUGGGAGCUGGGGCAGCAGCCCAGCAGCUGGUUCUGUUCCAGCAGUGGGAUCCUGGGGCUGCAAGCCCCUGGAGCACAGCCUUUUCCUCAGAGAAUUCAGAACACAACCACCCUCACAGCCCCCAGAUGCGAAGGGCACCGGGGACCCCACUCACCUUCUUGACAUGUCAGAUGGAGAGUCACUCGCAGCUCUUGAGGCUCACCUAGGGAGCCAUGAGCUCGAGUGGACAGAGCAGGGAGACUCAGGGUCCGUCCACAGACAUCAGACAUCCAGGCAGCUCCCUGUAAAGACUGGUUUGGCUCUAAAGAAGUCCAGAGGAGGACCAGAUCAGAAGACAGCAGGGAAACGGUCGGAUUUUACUUUUAAGAGAAAAAUCCAGAAUUAA